UACGUAGGGUCCGAGCGUUGUCCGGAAUUAUUGGGCGUAAAGGGCUCGUAGGCGGUUUGUCGCGUCGGGAGUGAAAACCCAGGGCUUAACCCUGGGCUGGCUUCCGAUACGGGCAGACUAGAGGUAUGCAGGGGAGAACGGAAUUCCUGGUGUAGCGGUGAAAUGCGCAGAUAUCAGGAGGAACACCGGUGGCGAAGGCGGUUCUCUGGGCAUUACCUGACGCUGAGGAGCGAAAGUGUGGGGAGCGAACAGG
rnacentral:rRNA from 1 species